UACGUAGGUGGCAAGCGUUGUCCGGAUUUACUGGGCGUAAAGCGCGUGUAGGCGGCUCGUUAAGUCUGUCGUGAAAUCUCCCGGCUUAACCCGGAAAGGUCAGCCGAUACUGCGGGGCUAGAGUGCAGAAGGGGCAACUGGAAUUCUCGGUGUAGCGGUGAAAUGCGUAGAUAUCGAGAGGAACACCUGCGGCGAAGGCGGGUUGCUGGGCUGACACUGACGCUGAGGCGCGAAAGCUAGGGGAGCGAACGGG
rnacentral:rRNA from 1 species